AUGGCAAUACAGCAGAUCACUCAAGGCUUGCUGAGACAUGACUACGCAUUCAUACCACUUGGGAAAAUAUCAUCAUCCUACGUUGAAAAUUAACUAGAAGAUACUGAUAAUUAUAUAGGUUUUAUGCAAUAUGGCAGUACAUAGAUCACUCGAUGCAUGGUGAGACAUGAAUUCACAUUUCUACCACUUCGGAAUUUAUCAAUAUCCUACAUGUAAAAUGGACUAGAAGAUACUGAAAAUAUUAAUGGUUUUAUACAAUAUGGCAAUACAGCAGAUCACUCAAGGCUUGCUAAGACAUGACUACGCAUUCAUAACACUUGGGAAAAUAUCAUCAUCCUACGUUGAAAAUUAACUAGAAGAUACUGAUAAUUAUAUAGGUUUUAUGCAAUAUGGCAGUACAUAGAUCACUCGAUGCAUGGUGAGACAUGAAUUCACAUUUCUACCACUUCGGAAUGUAUCAAUAUCCUACAUGUAAAAUGGACUAGAAGAUACUGAAAAUAUUAAUGGUUUUAUACAAUAUGGCAGUACAUAGAUCACUCGAUGCAUGGUGAGACAUGAAUUCACAUUUCUACCACUUCGGAAAGUAUCAAUAUCCUACAUGUAAAAUGGACUAGAAGAUACUGAAAAUAUUAAUGGUUGUA